GGGUUGUGAGGUUAAGCGACUAAGCGUACACGGUGGAUGCCCUGGCAGUCAGAGGCGAUGAAGGGCGUGCUAAUCUGCGAUAAGCGCCGGUAAGGUGAUAUGAACCGUUAUAACCGGCGAUACCCGAAUGGGGAAACCCAGUGUGAUUCGUCACACUAUCAUUAACUGAAUCCAUAGGUUAAUGAGGCGAACCGGGGGAACUGAAACAUCUAAGUACCCCGAGGAAAAGAAAUCAACCGAGAUUCCCCCAGUAGCGGCGAGCGAACGGGGAGGAGCCCAGAGCCUGAAUCAGCAUGUGUGUUAGUGGAAGCGUCUGGAAAGGCGCGCGAUACAGGGUGACAGCCCCGUACACAAAAGCGCAUGUGCUGUGAGCUCGAUGAGUAGGGCGGGACACGUGGUAUCCUGUCUGAAUAUGGGGGGACCAUCCUCCAAGGCUAAAUACUCCUGACUGACCGAUAGUGAACCAGUACCGUGAGGGAAAGGCGAAAAGAACCCCGGCGAGGGGAGUGAAAAAGAACCUGAAACCGUGUACGUACAAGCAGUGGGAGCACAGGUUUACCUGUGUGACUGCGUACCUUUUGUAUAAUGGGUCAGCGACUUAUAUUCUGUAGCAAGGUUAACCGAAUAGGGGAGCCGGAGGGAAACCGAGUCUUAAUUGGGCGUUAAGUUGCAGGGUAUAGACCCGAAACCCGGUGAUCUAGCCAUGGGCAGGUUGAAGGUUGGGUAACACUAACUGGAGGACCGAACCGACUAAUGUUGAAAAAUUAGCGGAUGACCUGUGGCUGGGGGUGAAAGGCCAAUCAAACCGGGAGAUAGCUGGUUCUCCCCGAAAGCUAUUUAGGUAGCGCCUCGUGAAUUCAUCUCCGGGGGUAGAGCACUGUUUCGGCUAGGGGGCCAUCCCGGCUUACCAACCCGAUGCAAACUGCGAAUACCGGAGAAUGUUAUCACGGGAGACACACGGCGGGUGCUAACGUCCGUCGUGAAGAGGGAAACAACCCAGACCGCCAGCUAAGGUCCCAAAGUCAUGGUUAAGUGGGAAACGAUGUGGGAAGGCCCAGACAGCCAGGAUGUUGGCUUAGAAGCAGCCAUCAUUUAAAGAAAGCGUAAUAGCUCACUGGUCGAGUCGGCCUGCGCGGAAGAUGUAACGGGGCUAAACCAUGCACCGAAGCUGCGGCAGCGACACUGUGUGUUGUUGGGUAGGGGAGCGUUCUGUAAGCCUGUGAAGGUGUGUCGUGAGGCAUGCUGGAGGUAUCAGAAGUGCGAAUGCUGACAUAAGUAACGAUAAAGCGGGUGAAAAGCCCGCUCGCCGGAAGACCAAGGGUUCCUGUCCAACGUUAAUCGGGGCAGGGUGAGUCGACCCCUAAGGCGAGGCCGAAAGGCGUAGUCGAUGGGAAACGGGUUAAUAUUCCCGUACUUGGUGUUACUGCGAAGGGGGGACGGAGAAGGCUAUGUUGGCCGGGCGACGGUUGUCCCGGUUUAAGCGUGUAGGUGUGUGUUCCAGGUAAAUCCGGUUCACUUUAACACUGAGGCGUGACGACGAGGCACUACGGUGCUGAAGCAACAAAUGCCCUGCUUCCAGGAAAAGCCUCUAAGCAUCAGGUAACAUCAAAUCGUACCCCAAACCGACACAGGUGGUCAGGUAGAGAAUACCAAGGCGCUUGAGAGAACUCGGGUGAAGGAACUAGGCAAAAUGGUGCCGUAACUUCGGGAGAAGGCACGCUGACACGUAGGUGAAGUGAUUUACUCAUGGAGCUGAAGUCAGUCGAAGAUACCAGCUGGCUGCAACUGUUUAUUAAAAACACAGCACUGUGCAAACACGAAAGUGGACGUAUACGGUGUGACGCCUGCCCGGUGCCGGAAGGUUAAUUGAUGGGGUCAGCGCAAGCGAAGCUCCUGAUCGAAGCCCCGGUAAACGGCGGCCGUAACUAUAACGGUCCUAAGGUAGCGAAAUUCCUUGUCGGGUAAGUUCCGACCUGCACGAAUGGCGUAAUGAUGGCCAGGCUGUCUCCACCCGAGACUCAGUGAAAUUGAACUCGCUGUGAAGAUGCAGUGUACCCGCGGCAAGACGGAAAGACCCCGUGAACCUUUACUAUAGCUUGACACUGAACAUUGAGCCUUGAUGUGUAGGAUAGGUGGGAGGCUUUGAAGUGUGGACGCCAGUCUGCAUGGAGCCGACCUUGAAAUACCACCCUUUAAUGUUUGAUGUUCUAACGUGGACCCGUUACCCGGGUUGCGGACAGUGUCUGGUGGGUAGUUUGACUGGGGCGGUCUCCUCCUAAAGAGUAACGGAGGAGCACGAAGGUUGGCUAAUCCUGGUCGGACAUCAGGAGGUUAGUGCAAUGGCAUAAGCCAGCUUGACUGCGAGCGUGACGGCGCGAGCAGGUGCGAAAGCAGGUCAUAGUGAUCCGGUGGUUCUGAAUGGAAGGGCCAUCGCUCAACGGAUAAAAGGUACUCCGGGGAUAACAGGCUGAUACCGCCCAAGAGUUCAUAUCGACGGCGGUGUUUGGCACCUCGAUGUCGGCUCAUCACAUCCUGGGGCUGAAGUAGGUCCCAAGGGUAUGGCUGUUCGCCAUUUAAAGUGGUACGCGAGCUGGGUUUAGAACGUCGUGAGACAGUUCGGUCCCUAUCUGCCGUGGGCGCUGGAGAACUGAGGGGGGCUGCUCCUAGUACGAGAGGACCGGAGUGGACGCAUCACUGGUGUUCGGGUUGUCAUGCCAAUGGCACUGCCCGGUAGCUAAAUGCGGAAGAGAUAAGUGCUGAAAGCAUCUAAGCACGAAACUUGCCCCGAGAUGAGUUCUCCCUGAGACUUAGAGUCUCCUGAAGGAACGUUGAAGACGACGACGUUGAUAGGCCGGGUGUGUAAGCGCAGCGAUGCGUUGAGCUAACCGGUACUAAUGAACCGUGAGGCUUAACCUUACAACGCCGAAG
rnacentral:rRNA from 112 species